GACGAACGCUGGCGGCGUGCUUAACACAUGCAAGUCGAGCGGUAAGGCUCCUUCGGGGGUACUCGAGCGGCGAACGGGUGAGUAACACGUGAGUAAUCUGCCCUUCACUUCGGGAUAACCAUCGGAAACGGUGGCUAAUACCGGAUAUGACUCGUCCCUGCAUGGGGGUGGGUGGAAAGUUUUUUCGGUGGAGGAUGUGCUCGCGGCCUAUCAGCUUGUUGGUGAGGUAACGGCUCACCAAGGCUUCGACGGGUAGCUGGCCUGAGAGGGUGGCCGGCCCCACUGGGACUGAGACACGGCCCAGACUCCUACGGGAGGCAGCAGUGGGGAAUAUUGGACAAUGGGCGGAAGCCUGAUCCAGCAACGCCGCGUGAGGGAUGACGGCCUUCGGGUUGUAAACCUCUUUCAGCUCCGACGAAGCGCCCGUGAGGGUGGUGACGGUAGGUGCAGAAGAAGGACCGGCCAACUACGUGCCAGCAGCCGCAGUAACAC
rnacentral:rRNA from 1 species